rnacentral:rRNA from 1 species
CAAACGACUCUCGACAACGGAUAUCUCGGCUCACGCAUCGAUGAAGAACGUAGCAAAAUGCGAUACUUGGUGUGAAUUGCA